CGUAGGGUGCGAGCGUUGUCCGGAAUUAUUGGGCGUAAAGGGCUCGUAGGCGGUUUGUCGCGUCGGGAGUGAAAACAACGCAGCUUAACUGCGUGCUUGCUUUCGAUACGGGCAGACUAGAGGUAUGCAGGGGAGAACGGAAUUCCUGGUGUAGCGGUGAAAUGCGCAGAUAUCAGGAGGAACACCGGUGGCGAAGGCGGUUUCUCUGGGCAUUACCUGACGCUGAGGAGCGAAAGUGUGGGGGAGCGAACAGGAUU
rnacentral:rRNA from 1 species